AAGUAUUAAAAGGAUAAGCCACAAAUAAGUGGCAUAAUAAUUAUGCUAUAAUAUAUAACACUUGUGAAAUCGCAUGGGAAUAAUAUUUGCAUGACCUGCACUUACAAGUAAGAGGUUUGGAUCACAACGGAAUGCAAUCCUUGUCACAAUGCCCUGGUGACCUUUAAAGAAAUGUGUGCAAAAGCCACACAAUCCACAUCCCAGACACAGACCCUUUUUAUCUGCCCCGGGUGCAGCAAU
rnacentral:lncRNA from 1 species